UACGUAGGGGGCAAGCGUUGUCCGGAAUUAUUGGGCGUAAAGAGCGCGUAGGCGGUCCGGUAAGUCGGCUGUGAAAGUCAAGGGCUCAACCCUUGAAAGCCGGCCGAUACUGUCGGACUAGAGUCCGGAAGAGGCGAGUGGAAUUCCCGGUGUAGCGGUGAAAUGCGCAGAUAUCGGGAGGAACACCAAUGGCGAAGGCAGCUCGCUGGGACGGUACCGACGCUGAGGCGCGAAAGCCAGGGGAGCGAACGGG
rnacentral:rRNA from 1 species